rnacentral:rRNA from 1 species
UACGUAGGGGGCUAGCGUUGUCCGGAAUCAUUGGGCGUAAAGCGCGCGUAGGCGGCCCGGUAAGUCCGCUGUAAAAGUCAAAGGCUCAACCUUUGAAUGUCAGUGGAUACUGCCGGGCUAGAGUCCGGAAGAGGCGAGUGGAACUCCUGGUGUAGCGGUGGAAUGCGCAGAUAUCAGGAAGAACACCGACGGCGAAGGCAGCUCGCUGGGACGGUACUGACGCUGAGGCGCGAAAGCGUGGGGAGCGAAUAGG